UACGAAGGUCCCAAGCGUUAUCCGGAUUUAUUGGGUUUAAAGGGUGCGUAGGCGGGUUAUUAAGUCAGUGGUGAAAGCCUUCAGCUUAACUGAAGAAUUGCCAUUGAUACUGAUGAUCUUGAGUAUGAUUGAGGUUGGCGGAAUGUGUCAUGUAGCGGUGAAAUGCUUAGAUAUGACACAGAACACCGAUUGCGAAGGCAGCUAACUAAGUCAUAACUGACGCUGAUGCACGAAAGCGUGGGGAGCGAACAGGA
rnacentral:rRNA from 1 species